rnacentral:lncRNA from 1 species
AUAGCCAGGGCAGUAAUAUGACUGAAGAAUAACAACCCCAUACAUACUAAAUACAUUUUUUGAAUAAAAACAGAAGAGGAAAAAAAAAUUGAUUUUUGAGUCUGCAGAUCACCGCCCGACCCAUCCCAUCCAUAGAACGAUCCUCCACUGCUCUGAUGCCCCCAAGACAGACAAUAUACACUUCAAUAAAAAAGAGUCUAUAGAAGAAAACCUGGAGCACUUCAGCUGCUAAAGGGGCAACCAGCAGCAACCAACCUUUUAGUAGAUUUUAUGGACAGUAUGAUGGUGGGAAGUAGACAGUAUUACACAUUAAAUUAAGUAAAAGAGGCAAAAACAUGGUCCAAUCGAGAUUUUCUUUUGAAAAGAGCAGAACUGCCAGAAGAUUUUUGACAUAGAGGCUGACAGAUAAACAUUGUCGUGGAACCCUCAUAAAAAAAGGACAAUGCUAUAUGUACGCAAUGGAAUACACACCUCUCACAAAAAUCUCCAAAAAAGUGGGCCCUCCCCUUGCUGUGAGGGUCGGUCUUGGUCACCCAUUCUUGUGGCAGUGUAGUAGUUCUGUUUUCUUUUACCUACCAUGUCAAAUCCUUGAAACUAUUCUACCAAACAAAUUAUAGCCCCUUGACAUUAAGAAUAAUGUUACUAGCACAUAAGCAAUUAUAUAAUAGUUUACAUACAAAUGAGAUAUCAAAAAGAGAAUGUAAACUUUUUUUCUUUUUUUAUAUCUAUUUUUAUUUGGUCGAUUUAGACUCAAUCAAAUCAAAUCACAUUAUGUGUAUGUAUAUUAUUAUGUAAGCCUAUUAUGUACUUAUGACACAACCGUUACAUUAAAUGUAGACAAUUCAUAAUUAAUCCUUCCCCCCUUUUCAUCAAUAGACGCUCAAUCAAAACUGACAAUGCACAAGUCACAACCCUGAAAACAACUUAUCUAAAGCAUAUGCAUAUGAGCAUGCGAUAAUCACUCAUGGCUUAUGCUACUCAAGACUUUCAAUUACAAGACAUACUUGUGUUGAUCUCUCGUCCGGACCUCGAAAUCGACAUGAAUAUCUGUGACAUGAUUUUCCAAAAUAACAGGAAAACAUAUAAAUAUGUCACGAAGGAGCAACCAAUCUCAUACAUCUGACAAUUCUAACCAAGAUCAAGCAACGUAGAUCACAC